GCUUGAUUUUUGAAAACAGUGAGAAAUUUGCAGUGGAAAUUUAGCUUGAUCCAGAUUCCAGAACAAAGAAAAAGGUAAAAUAAUGAUUGCACAUUACACCAAAUAGGUUCUCCAUGAUAAAAACAAGUUUGAUUAAUGAAAAUAAAACAGCUGUUACCGUGUUGGGCGCCUCUUUCAAGUCUGUUAUACGUGACCGUGUUGAAAUAUGAUACUUUUUCUUAUACUGUCAAUAUAUUGCACUGAUACAAGAUAUUUUAGCCAUAAUGUGUGUUAUUUGAAUCCAUUUAUCAAAUUGCUUGACUAACUUGUGUUGUUUCUGAAGAUAUAUGCAAUUAAUAAUCAAUCAUUGUAUCACUGGGUCUGACAUGGAAAUAGACAAUUGUGCCAAUAAAGAUGUUGUAAAAUAUACACAAAUGUAGGCGUCACAGAAAAAAAUUAAGAUAGCCAUCAAAGUUGUCGUAUGUCAUUGUAGGAAGGCGUCCCAGAAAAAAUAAAAAACAGCCUUCCAAGUCUUGAAAGUGUCAUAAUGAUUUAGACUAGGAUCUAGCCUUGUAAGUUGGGUAAAAUUUUCUUGUUUUCAGGGUAAAACCAGUUUACAGGUGUUAAAAAAGAGUACAUAGGGACAUCUUUUUUGCUGUACAAUUUAUAGUAUGAAAUCUACAUAUUUAUCAAUGACGAGCUACAUGUACAAUCACUAAAUAUGUGAUCAGAAACAAUGUUGUAAUCAAUCAUAAAACAUAUGCAUUUUGGAAUUCAUUUAAAUUUGUCACUUUGUUCUAAAGAUUUGUUGGACUAACAUGCAUACAUUUUUUUUUUUAUAUAAAUAAGGCGGUGAAUUUUCUCGUUUGAAUUGUUUCACAUUGUCAUUUCGGGCCUUUCAUAGCUGGCUAUGCGGUAUGGGCUUUGCUCAUUGUUGAAGGCCGUACGGUUACCUAUAAAUGUUAAUUUCUGUGUCAUUUUGGUCUCUUGUAAAGAUAUGUCUCAUUGGCAAUCAUACCACAUCUUCUUUUUUAUAUGAAACAGACAGAAGAAUAUAAAAGAUAAUUGAAUGUAUUUUUAAUUUUUUUUUCCAGAGUCUUGUACAUAAAUCCACAGAUCCAAUGUGUCGGAGGUUGAGGAAAUCAUUGCAGUAACCAUGUAACAGUUAAGCAUGCACCAGCUCAAAAAUUUGGACCAAGAUUUUAAAAAGGUAAACAUCAGUUGAUCAGCUCUUUUUAUGUCCUCCUUAACUGAGUGUUAUAGUUUAACUCUUGUACUGUACGUACAUACAUGUACAUUGAACUCAAAAUUGGAUUCUGUUAUCUAAAGUUUGCCUAAACCACAUGUUAUGCAACCAAUACACAACGCUUAUUAUCAUAAAACACAGAGUUUGAAUUUGGAGAGCAUCUGCUUUACUGUUCUCUAGAUAUGUCCUUUUAAUUAAGUUUGAUAAGAUCAUUUGUGACUCAUGGACACAUUCUUCUUAUAUUAAUUUUAUUUAUCAAAUUAUAAUUUGUUGAUUUUAUAGAUUGUGUUCAUUGGCAUAUGCUAUGAGGUCUUGUUGUAUCGAUGUACAUUCUAAAUUUAUUAAGGUAGAAUCCUUUGCAUAUCUUAAAUUAAUUGAAAAAUGACAAUAUUGUGAAACCAAACUUCCUUUAUUAAUUAUUUCGACUCAUUAUUAUUUGUAGAAUAACCACUGGUUGCUCCAGAAAAUAUUAUGUCCCCUCUCCCCCAGGGAAAGCUCCUUUCUUAAAUUUUAUUUGGGGGUGGUUGUGUAUGAAAUACCAAAAUGCAAAGGGAGUGUUGUUCUUAUUAAUUUUUAAUUCUGUCGGUGCUGGGAUUUUUUUUUAAAAGGGCUUAGGGCUGUCCCUUAGGGGCGGACAUAGUAUUUUCUGGAACAGACAUAAUUUUAUUAACACAUGUUCAAUUUAACAACAAAUUUAUUUUUUAAAUAAGAACAAAGGUUAAUCAUAAGUUAUGAAUAAUUAUAUACUGUUGAAAUUGUGUUAAAUUUCUAACAUACAUCAUCAAAAAUGUGUAUAAUUGGCAAAGAUACAAACAUCUCAGUAACAACACAAAAUAAUUAUGAAUCUGCAGUUUAUUAUAGGACCAGCAAUAGAAAAAAUAUUGAUUAUGUUUAAACACAGGAUAAUUUUUAAGAACUGCUGUAAUCAUAAGUUCGGAUCAAUUUAUUUUUUUGUAUUUUAUAAUUUAUGAUUUUUUUUUUUCAGAGAUCUGAAACCAACACAAGACCAGCUGGGUCAAUAUUCCUAAUGCGCCUCCAAAUGAGUAACUAAUGCGCCAUCAAAUGAGGAACACAAAAGUUGUGUGUAAACAAAAAUUGUCUCUAGUGAUAUUGAACAUGUUUCAUUUUUAAAAAG
rnacentral:lncRNA from 1 species